GGACAGCCCACCAGGGUCUGCUUCUGUGAGGGGCCGAGGCGUCAUUCCGCGAAGCCUUUUCCUUGCUGUCGCCAUGUGAAGAAGGAUGUGUUUGCUUCUCCUUCUGCCAUGAUUGUAAGUUUCCUGAAGCCUCUCCAGCCAUGCCAAACUCAUUUUGCACAGAGCUUGGCAGUUACAUAGUAGAUGUUGAACAAUUUCUUCUGUGUUUCAGCUGUCAAACUCUGUUCUGAAUGUGUGAGGCUCUUCAUUCGAUGGACAAAAACCACAAGAUUAUCUAAACAGAUGCAGAAAAGGCCUUCAAUAAAAAUCCUCAUUCCUUCAUGUUAAAAACUCUCAAUAAACUAGGUAUUGAAGGAACAUACCUCAAAAUAAUAAGAGCCAUUUAUGACAAACUCACAGCCAGUGUCCUUACUGAAUGGGCAAAAGCUGAAAGCAUUCCCCUUGAAAACCAGCACAAGACAAGUUUGCCCUCUAUCCCAACCCCUAUUCAAUAUAGUAUUGGAAGUUAUGGCCACGGCAAUCGGGCAAGAGAAAAAAAUGAAGAGUAUUUAAAUGGGAAAAGAGGAAGUCAAACUAUCUUUUUUUGCAGAAGACAUAAUCCUAU
rnacentral:antisense_RNA from 1 species